rnacentral:rRNA from 1 species
GAUGAACGCUGGCGGCGUGCCUAAUACAUGCAAGUCGAGCGAACAGACGAGGAGCUUGCUCCUUCGACGUUAGCGGCGGACGGGUGAGUAACACGUAGGUAACCUACCUAUAAGACUGGGAUAACUUCGGGAAACCGGAGCUAAUACCGGAUAAUAUUUCGAACCGCAUGGUUCGAUAGUGAAAGAUGGCUUUGCUAUCACUUAUAGAUGGACCUGCGCCGUAUUAGCUAGUUGGUAAGGUAACGGCUUACCAAGGCAACGAUACGUAGCCGACCUGAGAGUGUGAUCGGCCACACUAGAACUGAGACACGGACCAUACUCCUACGGGAGGCAGCAGUAGGGAAGCUUCCGCAAUGGGCGAAAGCCUGACGGAGCAACGCCGCGUGAGUGAUGAAGGUCUUCGGAUCGUAAAACUCUGUUAUUAGGGAAGAACAAACGUGUAAGUAACUGUGCACGUCUUGACGGUACCUAAUCAGAAAGCCACGGCUAACUACGUG